rnacentral:rRNA from 1 species
CUUUGACCUCAAAUCAGGUAGGACUACCCGCUGAACUUAAGCAUAUCAAUAAGCGGAGGAAAAGAAACCAACAGGGAUUGCCUCAGUAGCGGCGAGUGAAGCGGCAAAAGCUCAAAUUUGAAAUCUGGCGUCUUUGGCGUCCGAGUUGUAAUUUGAAGAAGGUAUCUUUGGGCCCGGCUCUUGUCUAUGUUCCUUGGAACAGGACGUCACAGAGGGUGAGAAUCCCGUGCGAUGAGAUGACCCGGGUCUGUGUAAAGUUCCUUCGACGAGUCGAGUUGUU